UCCCUUGGAACAGGGCGUCAUAGAGGGUGAGAAUCCCGUCCUUGACAUGGACCCCCGGUGCUUUGUGAUACACUUUCAACGAGUCGAGUUGUUUGGGAAUGCAGCUCAAAAUGGGUGGUGAAUUCCAUCUAAAGCUAAAUAUUGGCGAGAGACCGAUAGCGAACAAGUACCGUGAGGGAAAGAUGAAAAGCACUUUGGAAAGAGAGUUAAACAGUACGUGAAAUUGUUGAAAGGGAAACGAUUGAAGUCAGUCAUGCUCUUGGGACUUACCUCCCUUGAGUGGGGUCAACAUCAGUUUUGAUCGAUGGAUAAAGGCACGGGGAAGGUAGCACUCUCGGGUGAACUUAUAGCCUCGCGUCAUAUACAUU
rnacentral:rRNA from 1 species